GGUUCUGUGGUGCAAUGGACAGCGCAUUGGACUUCUAGGUGAAAGAAGAAGGCAUUGAAAGGUUGUGGGUUCGAGUCCCACCAGGCCCA
rnacentral:tRNA from 1 species